UACCAGCGGUCCAAGUCGCAAUCACUUUUAUUGGGUCUAAAACAUCCGUAGCUUGCUAAGCAAGUCUCUUGUGAAAUCCGGCCUCUCAAGGGUCGAAGAGCAAGAGAUACUACAUAGCUAGAGACCGGGAGACGUGAGAAGUACGGAUGGGGUAGCGGUAAAAUGCGUUGAUCCUAUCUGGACUAACAAUAGCGAAGGCAUCUCACGAGAACGGAUCUGACAGUAAGGGAUGAAGGCUAGGGGCGCAAACCGG
rnacentral:rRNA from 1 species